UCUACCAGGAACUGGAUAUAGAUAUUUCCUGAGAGACACAGUUAGAGAAUGUCUAAUACAGAAGUGAAUGUUAGUGGCAAACCAGUGAACUGAAAACGGACAUCUUGUUGGUAGAUUUUGAGACAGUAUUACAAUUGUUGAAGGUGCUGUUAACUACAAAAGAACAACAUUCUCAAUGACCCAGAGCUUUCUGGUACUAGACCAAUAUUCAAAGAAUGAACAUAGACAGAAAUAUGGCUCCAAAUGCAUAUGUGGCAGAGGAUUGCUUUUUUGGCACCAAUGGAAGGAGAAGCCCUUGGUUCUACCUUGGUUUGUCUCCCAGUUUAAGGGAAUGUCAAAGGGCAGAAUUAUGGUUAGAGAAGAAGGGAUUGUGAACAGGUUGUGAUUUAAUGGGCAGGAAACUGAGAAAGGAAAUAAUAUUUUAAACGUAAAUAUAGCCUCAUCCAGUUUAAAAAUCACUUAAAUUGAUAAAAAAUUAAAAAAAGAAAGAAAUAAAAGUAAAGAAAACUUCCAACUAAUCACAGUUAUUUACUCAGAAAUCUAAAUUGGUAUUCAGAGUAAUACUUGUAGCAAGACAAAGAUGAUGAAGUCUCAACUAGAAGCACUUCUUUCUCCGAGAUAUCCGUGUCAGACACAAAAUGCACUAUAGGUAUCCAAAGCUUGGAGGAGUUUACUCUGACCUGAGGACCCAAUACUUGUCUUUACCUCCUUCCUUAGGACCUUUUUCUUCUGGGCAAAAAGAAAAAAAGGCCAUAGAUCUCAGAAAAACAACUGUGCCCUCUCAAAAUUUUGCUUUGUAAUUAGGAAAUGAAUGAUAUAAAACCUUUGACAUCCAGGUACCAUAAGAACAGGGAAGUCCAGAUGCUUCUGUGAAGCUUCCAGCUCUUGAUUCCCAUAUGUGUAAGUCUCAGAUCAAGUCUAUCUCUUCAGCGAUACCACUCCAACCCUUCCAAGGGCUCCCUGAACUUUUCAAAGUACCACUUAUUUUUCCUUUUUUUUUUUCAUACAAAGACAGAAGGUCAGCUUCUUUCUCCCCAUCUCUGAUCUCUUUAUCCUUUUUGUUCUCACUCCCAAAUGGCUGUUUACUCUGAAUUAGUGGCCAAUUAGCAAACCGGAGAGUUACUGAGGGAAUAUGUGAGAGGCAGUUCCUGUCAGGACAGUAAUUGUUACAUCACAGAAGAAGCUAGGGCUCUCCUAGUUACAACAAAUUUGUCAUGGAGGUCCUAUUUAUGAUGUCACUGAGAACGGCCAUCUCCUACAUGCUAAACAGCUUUCCUUACAUUUACCAGAUUCGAAGGUGUCCUUUCCAGUUCAAGGUAGACUGGAGGUUCACUUGGGAUGCAAUGAAGAGCCCCUGACAAGCAUAUUCUUCAAAGCCUCCCAUGGUGUAACUGAAGAUACAAUAUGUGAAGUAGCAAUAACUUGCCUGCUCAAGAGGUGUCCUUUCACAUGCAGAGGAAUGUGUAGAUGGACAUAUAUUUGAAUAAGAUACUGAACCUAAGACUACUGCAUUAGAGCCUCGUACAAGACUUCUAAGACUGUUGACUGCCUACCAUGGAUAUUCAGGCAUCUGCAGAUACUACCUUUUGAGGAAUGAAUCCUUCUCAGGAGACAAUAGACGGAACCUGCACUUCAAUGAUAAUUAAAUGGCACUUCAAGAUAUCAAAUCAAAAUAUCAAAGUGAGAAUGGAAUAAAUUUAUUAGUACAGUGUUUUGCAAACAACUUCUUUCACAAACAGCCUUGGAAGGAGAAUUCUGAAAUUUUGCAUUUCAUAUUUGACUUUGCUGGUACUCUGACAAAAUCAACUCACAACUGUUUGGGGCUUUAUGGGCAAUUAAAUACUACAAACAGAGCUGAAUGAAUCAGUGCUCUGCGGUAUGUGUUAAUAUGGCUACAGUGAAGAACAACUAUGCUUAAGCUAUUCAUCUGUUUUUCAAACAGCAUCCUCAUGCAACUGUGGACUUCUGUGGGUCGUUGGAUGGAUAGGUUGAGAACACUGGCUGAGAGCUGCAAAUGCAGAAGUGGGAUGGUACAUGAUUGGAUCAUGAAAGGCCUGUGUGUAGAUCAUAAACAACUUCACAAUAUUCAAUACUUUAAUAAUUACUAGGAAGUAGACUUCUAUAAAAUGACUUCAGCAGACCAGCAUGGUAGAAAAACAGUAACUGAUUCCCUGGAGAUUUAAAUCCACUGGAUUGUGAAACAUGGACUUAGAGGUAGAGACAUGUCAGCACAUGAAGACUGGAUAAUGAAACCACUGUUGUCUCUUAAGUUUCCCUAACCCAUGGUUUGAGGCCAACAGCAACAGAUUUUUUGCACUGAGGAAUAGAAUAAAAGCCAAUUUGUUGAAAAUCCCAAUCAUAAGAAAAUACUGAAAUCAUCUGUGACAAACAUCAACUCUCAGCAUGGUUUCAGGAUGUCUGAAUGUCUGCUGUCAGCAUGGGCUUUUACUGACAUCCCUUUUAUAACUGCAGAGCUCCAAUCUGCUUCAGCCACAUCAUCAUCUCUUAAUUCUGUUGCAGGUAGAUUAGAUCACUGUGUCUGCCUAUGCAGUCUUUCUCUACAUAUAAAGACCCAAGGAACAAAUCUCACUCCAGGCAGCUGUUGAAAGUAAUUUUGAAUCACAUUGGUGUUGUUAGUAGAUGUAAUGUCUUCAAAUCCCAGAAGACCAUGUUUGCAAAGAAGUUGAUUGAGGAAGUCUUGGGUAUUUCUUUCAUAGGGGCAGGUGGGAUCGAUGAACAGGACCGCUUUCUCAGACUAGAUCUUGCAGUUCACAUACACGUGAGCCAUGCUGACAGGGUGCAGCUUCCCAGAAUAGAAUGUUCAGUUGAAGAUACUGGUCUGUUUGAGAGUGGCAAACCCAAUGUAUUCUAAACCAUGCAUUCUAGUUGAAUCCCUAUAGAAAACAUGGAAGAAAGAAGCAUUUACUUUUUCAUUUUUGCACUAACAAUGCUACCAAACACUCACAGACAUUAGAACCUGCAUACUGAAGAUGUAUCCAUAUACAAAUGACUAGAUGUGACAUCUAGCCUUUUGAACUAAUAAAAUAAUGGAUUCUAGGACUUUAAAAAUAGUCAGCCAGUGUUAAAGUAUGUGGUCCAUAGUGUGUGAUAAUUGUGACUAGUUCGAUAGCUCUGUACAGAGAGAUUCACCCUUUACUAUCUCUUAGGGAACACGAACUACUACACCAGGUAUCUAGAGAAGACCUUUUACUGCAGUUUGAGUCUAGCAAGAGUUUCAGCUCAGUUACAAAUUUCCAAUGGCCACAUACCCUUAGUCUGAUAUUCAUACGCUGCUUUGAUACAGUCCUACUUAUAUUCUAUAGUUCUUGUCAACCGAAUUAAAAGAGCAUUGUAUCCUAUUAAAGAAAUGCACAGUAAUUUAUUUGCAUGAGUGCAGCAGAGAGAAGGAUUAUAGGAUAAACAAGAAUUGGAAAGCAAGAUGUCCUUCCUUCUGAGGACCAAGACCAGGAAACCUGAACUACAUAAAAAUCUGAAACAAGUUGUCUGAAGUUUGUUCUUUCCUUCAAUCAUGGGGCUCCUAGUGAAGGAGCUCAGUUCUCAAGAGUUGGCAAAAAUUACCUUUAUUGCUGAGCCAGGACAAUUGCUGAAUACUUCAUUCAUGGACCUGAAGAAACUCUGUAUCCAUCCUGCUAUAAUAUGUAUAUAUCUAUGUAUCAUUCAUAGAAUGGACACUUUACUGUUGGUUUGAAAGCAACAGUUUGUCCCUGGAGAGACACAGAUUUCUUCUUUCACAAAUUAUUUCACAGUCUGAUGGUGGGUCUCAUAAGUUCAUUCCGGGAUUUGCUUUACAGUAAUCAUUCAGUGAUCUGGAAGAAACACUUAUUUAAUGUUGUGAGAUCUACUAGAACAAUAUCAACCAUCAUUUUCCCUUCCCAGUUUAAUUCUGAAUCAUUCUCCACUAAAGGUCUGUGGUCUCUGAUGAAGGCAGCAUCUCCACAGACUAGUCUGAAUAUUGCUCUUAGCACUGCAUUUAUGAUACAUCAAUGUGAUUUCCUUACCACUCUCAUUCCCUAGAGAGUUUUUCAAUUCAUUUCAUCUGAUGGGUCUAAUGUACAUCAUCACCAAGGAUGAGUUUUGAGAGUUUUGCUAAAAAAUUUAAAAAAAGAAAGAAAUAAUAGGAAAGAAAAGAAAUAAAGGAAAACUGCAAGCUUAUCUCACCAAUUGACUCAGAAAUCUAAAGUUUUAUUCAGUGGAAAUAAUUGUGGAAAGUCUGAGAUGAUGAUGUUUCAUCUAGAAGCACUUCUCUCUCCAGGAAAUUAGUGUAAGAGUGAAACUGCACUAUUGGUAUCCAAAGAAUGGAGGAGUUUACUCUGAGCAGACAACACAAUACUUGUCUUUCAUUUCUUACUUAGGACAUUUUUAUAAUUGACAAAAAGAAUAAAUGCAAUGAGCUCUCAGGAAAACAUCUGUGACCUUCCAAAAACUUUGGAAUAAAGAAAUGAAUGAUAUAAAAUCUCUCACUUCCAGGAGCCAUAAGAACUGCGAAGUCCAGAUGUUUGUGAGAGGCUCACAGCUUUUGAUUCCCAUAUGUGGAAGGCUCAGAACAAGUCUAUCUCUUCAGUGAUCCUACUGAUCUCCUACCAAGGACUCACUGAGCUUUCCCAAGGACCGUGUAUUUCUUCCUUUUUUUAUACCAAGACAGAAGACCAGCUUCCUCCUUCCCAUCUCUGGUCUCUUCAUCCUCUUUCUUCUCACUCCACAAUGGAUACUCUGAAUUAGAGUUUAAUUAGUAAAUACUAGAGGUACUGAAGGGAUAUCUGGAUGGAGUUGCAGUAACAACAACACUUGUGACAUCACUGAAGAAGCUAGUCCUCUCCAGGUUACAAUAGAUGUUUCAGGGAGGGCUUCAUGAUUAUGUCAUUGAGAUGUUACCUGUUAAAAAGCUUUCCUUACAUUGACCAGAUUCAAAGGUGCCCAUUCCACAUAUGUCUCCUGUGACACAGGGGAAACCUUUAUGUACUCCCUCUCUCUAAAGGUAGAGACUUCUCUUUGCUUUAUUAGCUGUUACUUGAGAUGGAGAAAGUAUGUCAGGGGCUUGCCAUGGGUAGAAGAUUUAGGAACAUGUAGUGUAGGAGAUAAUUCUAGAUAAUAUUUUUAUUCCCAGGUUCAUUCCUGAGACAUAGAGUUCAAUUUUCUUCGUUAUCUAUGUAUCACAAAGGCCAGUAUUUUCCGUGCAGACCUUUAAUUAAAUGAAUAUUGUAUUUCACUUUCUUAUUGUACAUUCCUUGACAGGGGAAUUCAUAAUUAUUCCUGAAGGUGUACUCAAAAAUUCUGUUUUCCAAUUCCAUUUUCUGCAAUGAUUUUGACAACAAAGUGUGCCCAUCUUUAGAGUGAGCAUAACGGUAUGAAUACUGUGUACUCACUUCUAAUAUUAAACUCCUAAAUGCUUCUUUUAUGUAAUAAUUACAAGGCAUCAGCAAAGCAAAGGGCAAGAUGGGGUACAGAAUUCGGUUCUAUAGUCCCAUUUGAUAUCAAUUCUGCACUACCUAUCUUCCUGUGUCCCUAUGGCCAGACUUAAGGGUUUUGGAUGUUUUAUCAUUAUUCUUUCUUAAGUAGAAACCUUAGAUACCGGAGGAUAGGCAGGGAGAAAAACGGCAUGGUUAUCAGUCAAACCUCAAAUUCAAUAUGUUCAUAAUACAGGAGGGAGUCUAUUUGACAUUGUCAUUUCUGAAUUCUACAUUCUUGACCUAGUUGGGCAGAUUCUAUGUUAACAUUCCAACUAACCACCUGGCUGUAGGAGCCACAAAAAGUAUAUAUAUACAUCUGCCACCAAAAUGAUAUAAAAUUGAUGAAGCUAAGAAGUGCAUUCUGCCAGGAACCGGAUAUAGACAUUUCCUGAGAGACACAGCUAGAAUAUGUGAAAUACAGAGGUAAAUGAUAGUGACAAACCCAUGAACUGAAUGAAAAUGGACUUCUUGUGGUAAAUGUUGGGAAAUGAUUACACGAUCUGAAUGGGGCUUUAAUCCCCACAAGGACAAUGCCAAUGAAUGAAACCUUUCUGGUACUAAAUCAAUAUUCAAAGACUGCACAUGGACAGACCAAUGGCUUCAACUGCAUAUGAAGCGGAAGAUACCUUCGUGAGCACCAAUGAAAGAAGAGGCCCUUGAUCCUCCCUAGGUUUGAUUCCCAGUUCAACGGAAUGUAAAGAGACAGUAAGAUGGGUUAUAGAAAAAGGGGAAGGGGACAGGUUAGGGCUCUUAUGGACAGGAAACUGGGUAAGGAAAUUACAUUUGAAAUGUAAUUAAAGAAGUAUCCAAUUAAAAAAGCAUUAAAAAUUCCUAAAAAAUGAUAGAAGUAAAAGAAAAGAAAACUAUCAAUGAAUCAUACAUAUUGAUGCAGAAAUCUAAAGGGUAUGUAUCAGGGAAUGGUAAUCAGAGUAAUACAGGUGGAAAGACUGAGAUGACGAUGUAUUAACUAGAUGCACAUCUCUGUCCCAAAUAUCAGUGUCAGAAACAAAGUGCAGUAUAGGAAUCCAAAUCAAGGCGGAGUUUACAUUGAGCUGAGGAUACAAUACUUGUCAUCCCUCCUUCCUUAGGACCUUUUUAUCCUGGGCAAAAAGAAUGAAAGCCAUGAGCUAUCAGAAAAACAACUGUACACUUCCUAAUA